rnacentral:lncRNA from 1 species
GCUGGGAUUUUGUUAUUGGCGCAGAACUAGGCGAACAAUCGAGCUUUCUCCGACACUCCGUCUCUCCAAAUUACUGUGCUUGAGAGCGAUCUAACUCUUCCAUCCUGUAGGAACCUAUACAGCUUGCUUGGUAUGAAUUCUUUGUCACUAAACCAUUUUCACUUAACAGUAUCAGAACUUUCUGUCAAGAUUCUCUUUAAAUUUUAAUAAUAUCAGUA